CCAUGACUGGAUAAACGUGUUUUUAGCGGGAGUAAUUACAUCGAAUGCUUCGUGGAAAGUUGAAGGAGUCGGAAUUCAUGACACUAGCCGUUUAGAAAAUGUUUUGUGUUAUGCUAUAAAAAUGGAUUUUAUCGAACAAACUGGGCCUUUUGUAUCACCAAAAGAAGAAGAUCUUCAAAGGUGUGAAUGGAUGGGGCAGGUACAGUAGCUGCAGAAAGAGUAUAAAACAGGGCUGCAGAGAGCAGAGAGACACCACACUACUACUGAAGACCAGAAGACAUCAUCCAGAUAAACAGCCAUCAAUCAGACAGCAUCGUCCAACUUAAAGGAUGAAGAUCCAGAGUAUGUUACUGCUGUUUGCUCUAGUGGGUGUCCUGUUAGCAAGCUCCCUCAAUGAAGAUAACUCUGAGGAAGCUCUCCUGCAGGAGGAUGAUCUAAAAAGUGGAAAGGCUGCAUUUUUGGCAAAGUUGGCUGCUCUGAAGACCAGCGCCUCUGAAGAUGAAGCACCAUCAUCAUGGUUCCAUCAUCAUCAUCAUCAUCAUCAUCAUCAUCAUCAUCAUCAUCACCAUGGAUGAUGAGGUACCACGGACGAUUCUUUCCUGGUCUCCAUAUGGAAUCAACAUAACUAACAUUGCCCUACAUGCAUUCAUCCAUUCAUGAUGGCAAUGUUGUAUUGUGAUCCUCCAAUAAAAUAGUCCUUUCACACAUA
rnacentral:lncRNA from 1 species